GGGCUUACAUGGACUGAACUAAAAAACUUUGUUCUUUAAUGGACUGCAAAAAUUAAAGCCCAACUCCAUCAAAUUAAAGAUCAGAUCGGGCUGAACCAUCGGGCUGGCCAAUAUUAACCGCUCUACCACAAUUCUACAACGGCAAAACCAGCUACCACGACAAAAACCAGUACAAUGUUUAACACCAACACAGCUGCAACGUCCACUAAAAGCAGCCUUUAACAACGGCGUACAACAAAACAAUGGCAAAACGGCAACUCACAUAACAACAAAAACAGUUGCGUACAACAACUGUAUCAACAACAAACAACGACAACACAUAGCAAAGCACCGUUAACCAGAAAAACCUUAAUUUCCCAUUUACCGAUUUAUCACCCUCCCCCCCACCCCCGGCGCGCGUUCAGCUAUCUAUGGCUAAAAAUCAGAUGACUUUCACCACAUUCAGUCCAUUAUUCACUUUUUCGGGUAGGAAUUUAAUUCCCAAUGUUUCUCUCUUUGUCUCACAGUGGAUUUCAAUUAUUCUCAAGAAAAUCAGUUCAAUUUCGGGUUUGAAUCUGAAUCCCUAGACUUCCCCCCCUAAUUUCUCUUAUAAAUAGAGGCAGUGAAGGAUAGAGUGGAGAAGAUUUUUUAGGGGAAAAUUGAGGAUUCGGGUGGCGCAUGCUUCUAAUCCUAGGUAACCCAAAAAAUUCUCGGAGAAACAUACUCAAAAACUCAAUUCCGAUGAAAGUUAAACUCCAAAGAUUCAGAAUUUAAACUCUAGUGGUGAAAGCCCAUCCUCAAAGUUCGUCGUUCCGUUUGCUGCCCGCAAAAAGGUAAACAUAGCCUGCUCUUUGUCAUUUCCUCUUGUUUUUUUAUUUUUCUUCUCAUUAGUAGCAAUGUGUAAUGAGUGUUGGGACUGUCUGCUGUAGACGGCUUUGAAAGCCAUAGGUUUUGUGUGAUGAAUCCACUUUUCUCCGUUUUGUUUUUCUCAUUUUUCUCAGAGUUAUCAUUCUGUAGUAAUUUGACUGAUUUGAUGAUAAUUGUUAAGUAUGGUGUUGUCGCUCUAGUAUCUAGAUUUUAUUAUAUUUUUGUUGCUGCUUUAGAGAUUGAAUAUCAUUGUUAAUGUGAGUAUGCUGGUUCUGUUCAUAUAAUAGUCAGUGAUGUGAAGGGUAUGUUGUUAGUUUGGAAGACACUGUUUUCUUGCUUGUAUAAAGCCUUUGUGUUAGUCAAAUGUGAACUCUUAAAAACUUUUUCUUUCCUUUGCUUCGUUCUGCCAGUGUAAAUCUGGUUUGCCUCAUAGAUUCUUUUUGUUAUGUGUUUGAAACAGAUUGUUCAAAGUGUUCAAGUAUGAAUGUGUAGGCCUAGUGAACCCUGAAUGACUUGUUGGCCUUUGGUUCAACGUGAUUAGCCAUAUAGAGGGUGAAGGUCGUUUAAAAUAGUUAGAUUGUAUCUCCCUUGUCGUAAGUUUGUUUUGUCAAUGAAAGUAUGUUUCAUGGUUGCGCCUAGCUUUAACAGCUACGUAGACUUUCAUUUUUAGAGUUUCAAUUCCUAUAAAGUCAUAUGGUCGUAAUCGAAAGGCAAGAUUGAUGAUAACAUGUUGGUUAAGCAUUGCCUCUCUUUUCUUGCAUUUUAUUUCAAUUAUGUAUGAAUUCUUAUGAGCUUUGGCGAGUUAACUAUGUGAUAGUGAUGGCCCUAGUUCAUUGUCGCACAUCUAGUUGUGUUUGGACAUGCCCCCGGCGCAGUUAUAAUCCGUAAUUUUCUCAUGGUUUCACCCUAGCUCUUUAAAAGAACAAUUUGUCGUUAAUCUGUCCACCUGCUUUUUAUUCUUAAAGAAAAUAAAAAUGAAUCUGCUAGUUACCCUUUUAUUAUCAUUCCUAGCCCAAAACGUCUACACGUCUGUUGAAGUGUGAUAUAUUUUUUCCCCUAAAUAGUUAAUUUUAACUUUCUUUUAUAACUCAAAAUGCUUUGAGAUGUUCACGCAAUCUUAUAUACUUAAGGAAUACACAUGUUCAUAUCGGAUAACAGAGAUUCGAAUAAACAUAUUUGACUACUGUUAAAUCACUGUGAGUCUGAUUUGAAGAAUUUCAUAUGGUUCUUGUGUGGUUAUUUCAUAUAAUUUGUUACUUUUGAUCUUCUUUGAGGUUAACUUAGUUGAGAAAUAAUAAAUUAGUCAAUCUGGUUUUGCUGAGGUUGCUUAUGUUUAGUCUUUUUGGUUCUCUGUUCUAUUUAUGUAUUUUAUUGGGGAUUUUAGUUCAAAUGUAUUGUGUUCUGUUUGGCUUCCAGUUAAACUAUGUAUUAUCGCCAUUAUGGAUCUUGUUAGUAAAUUUGAAGUUUAAAACUCGGAUUUAUUAUGUAGUUUUGUGUUUAAAGACCUAAAACCUUUUGUUUACUGCAUUUGUAUCUCUGAUCAUGUACUUUUUGCAAAAAAUGUGUUCUGAAACAUGAUCAAUGGGUUUAUGCGAUAAUAUGUGCAAUAUCGUGAAACUUGUGUGACUACUCCAAUGCAUUCUUGCUAUCAUUAGAUUGUUGUCACGAUACACACUAAUUCUUAUAUUUUUUCUUAAUGCAUGUGGCGUUGACUUGAAUUCCAACGGACUCCAUUCCUUGCAUUUCUCAACGGGCCAAAGGGGCCUACAUCUUCUACGAGCUCAAAUGCCUUUAUUUUUUAAGAAACAAAGCUGUAUAUGCAUUUAUACAUCAGAAAUACAGCAUAUAUAUGGUGAAUGUGAGAAAAAAGAAGCUUAUUAUACAGGUGGACUAAAAUACGUGUAUAUGAUAAAGAUAUGGUCAUGUAUACACCAGAUAUACAAAAAUGCAGUAAGAAAAGUAGCUGAUAUACACAUCGUAUACACUGCAGAAAAAUGGACCGAAGUCCAUAAUUCAAACCCCAAAGCUGGGCAGCUUUAUUGAUGGGCUAACUAAGGGCCCAAUUUCAGUUCUUGUAUCAUUUUUAUAGCUUGUAUGCUUAUUUGUAUUAAUUAGCUUUUUAAUCAUUAACCUAGACAAAUUCCCUAAAGUGUUGUCAUUUUUAUUUUAUCUUAGUUUUCUUUUACUUAAUUCAUAAUUUCUUCACCUAAUUUAUAUUAUCUAAAACGGAUUAAAUCGGUUCCUUCAAUUCUCUUCCUAAAAUAAGUCUUUUAAAGAUUAAGUAUUUUAUUUCAAAAUGACAUUUGUCAUGUUCAUAUAACUAAUAGUCUAUUUGGAUUGAAGUAACUUUUUCAAACUCAAGAAACUAAUUUUUCUUGAAAAUUUGAACUUUUCAUGAUUACUAAGCAGUUUUAAUUUAACACUUUCUUAGCAUUUCUUCCAAAAGAAUUUUCUAUAACAUAAUCGAUUUUUCUAUAAUAAUUAAUAAUAAGAAAAUAAUUUUAAUAAUCUUCUUCUCCUACAAAAGCAAAAUUCAUUUUCCUCCUAAGUUCAGAAAUUACAAUUUAGUUCAAUUCAAAUAAAUUAUUUUCUCCUUUGAAUGAGUAAAUAUUAUUUUAAAUAUGUUUAAAUAAAUAAUUUUAAUGUUUUCUAUAAAAUCAAGUCUUUACAAAAAUUAGCCAUUUUUAGUUAGUCAAGCUAGUUCUUUUUGGUAAAUCGUUUUAAAUGGAGGCUCCUAAGUGCCCUAUAAACUUUCUUAGGACGUUAAUUGAACUCUUACCCAGUUUCUCUAGUUUUAAAGGUUUAUUUCUAUUUUUGAACAUUUGAAACUCUUUUAAGUUUUUUUCUUGACUUUUUCUAUAAAUAUCAACUGGCGACUUUGUAAAUUUCUUGAAAUUAUUUUGGAAUUUUCUUGAAUCUUUUGAAAUAGUUUUAAAGAGAUCAAAGCUAUUUUUUUGCCAAAAAAAAUGCGGAAAGGAUAAAACAGAAAUGAAGACUCUGCUGCGGAUUUAACUAGGUUCUAACCAAUUAUUUGAACUAACUUCUUAGACUAAUUAUUCGGGUUUAUAAAAUUUAAACUGUUGCAUUUCAUGUCAUACUUUCACAUUUAAAUAUUUAAACUAUUUUGGAGUUUCGCGAAUGUCCCGGCCCCUAUUUAUUAAUUCCAAAUGAAGUACUGGAAAUAUGACAGUUUAUUGGCACAUUAGGUGUCCAAUGACUGUUCGUAUUUUUUAAACCCGAGUAGUCCACUUGGAAACCUAGUCAAGCCCACUCUAGAUAUCUAGGAUAGAGUGAAAUCAAAACUCUUUUUAGGCAUGAGACUAGGACGACUCAAUACCUGAGGGGGCAUUAGGCCCAUUAGUAGAACCCACCUUAUGUCUAUUGACCACGAGUCAGUAACAGACGAUCAUUCUUUAUGUGCUUUAAUUAAAGGAUGUAAUGCUGGAUUGUACGGACUAUUGUCCCUUGGAAUAGAUGUGGGGGCAACGAAACAUCUUACAAACGGCAUGUUUACCCUUCAUACGCUAGACUUCCCUUUGGCUUGAACGGUCCUAUGUAUGCUAGGACGCGUAAUAACUGUUUAUGUGCUAAAGUAUUUUAUUGUUUUGCUUUGUCUAUAUUUGCUUGAUCGCUGUGUUUAAAUAACAUAUCUUUGGCUUUAAACAAGACUAGUCCAUUAUUCUAUUUUGAAAUCUUAGAGCAUUAAUAGGCAUAUACGGCUCAAAAUUUGAACCCUUCCAAAAUAUCCUUAAAAGUCCGUUGAUAAAAUUCCUUCCAAUUUGCCCAAAUUUGUUCAAAAUCUCAUUAGGUCAUUAUCCAAUUCACAUUAAUCAUGUUGCCCUCUCAAUUCGCUUUUCCCUGCAUUUGAUUAUAGUCAAAGCUAUCUAGACAUUCUAUUAAUGAAAAGACUAUGUUGUCUUUAAAGCUUUUCAAAUAAGCCUUUUUAGGAUGUUUAUUCUUUAAUAUUCGAUUUCUUCAAAAUCACUUAGUUCAUCCUGUUUGAAGUUCUAUUUUUCCCAUCAAAUUCAAGAUUCAUCAAAUGAUCAAAGUUCUAAUUAUUCGGUCACUUUCUAGAGUGUCUCAUCCUCUAAAUUCUGGACUUUGUCUGUUUCAAACCCAAUAGAUGCCAUUCGUUUCGUAUAUUACUUUGGUCAAUCAUUACGAUCAUGAAUUAACUUUUUAUCUUUUGAAUUUUUUUUUCCUUUUAGAGAGAGGCUGAUUUAUGUUGGUAGUCAAGUUUGCUCGCUCCAUAAAGACAAAAGUAAUCACUGGCAGAACAUCAGUAUUUCAC
rnacentral:lncRNA from 1 species